GCGAAAAUAACAUUGAAUGAAGGAGAGAGAGAGAGAGAGAGAGAGAGAGAGAGAGAGAGAGAGAGAGAGAGAGAGAGAGAGAGAGAGAGAGAGAGAGAGAGAGAGAGAGAGAGAGAGAGAGGUUCGACUCCUUUGUGCCUUAUCUCUGACAAAUAAGGGGGAGAGGACAUACGGAAAAGGAGAGUACAGGGGGGAAGUAAGAGAGAGAGAGAGAGAGAGAGAGAGAGAGAGAGAGAGAGAGAGAGAGAGAGAGAGAGAGAGAGACAGCCACCUGCGCCGCCCACCAGGUCAGUGAACGACCUUGGUUCAACAGUCAGUCACCACUGCAGGCGAUGGUGUACAUUUGGUAUUUAUCGAACCAUAAGCCUCACCCACAGCACACCAGUACAUCACACGAGUAGCAAGUAAUACAUUCAUUCACUUACGUGGAUGACAGUAGUUGCCUCACUGACGGCAUGAGUGGCUUCACUUGAACCUGAACCGAUGUUUGUGAUCCAGUUGGAGGACCGUGGUCGAAUUGGACCACAAGAUUUGUUCGCCAAUCCUGGUCAAGUUAUUAGAAUUGAAGAACGAUCGAAUCACAAGGCCUGCACCACACCUGCGAGGGAAGGAUGUCCCAAGGCUGCCUCCCAAUGUCACACCUUCUCCAGGCCUGCACCACACCUGCGAGGGAAGGAUGUCCCAAGGCUGCCUCCCAAUGUCACCUUUUCCUGUCUCCGUCGCUCCAUCUUAGCAUACCUCACUUGCUCAUCCAGCUGCUGCCUGCAAGGUGGAGAAUGUUUACACCUGGAAACGUUGCAAUAAAUGAAGAAGGAAG